rnacentral:misc_RNA from 1 species
CAGAACUAUCACUGGUUCAAAAGAAAAUGUCAGAGUGAAAGCAGAUGAAUUAAUUAAGCUAAUUAGUGGUUCAACAUGUCCACAAUCCAUCAGCAUUGCAAUGUUCGCACAGAAGGUGGUGUCCCUGUGUGUGAAGCCUACAGGAAGCUUUAACAGUGCAGUCUAUGCUUAUGGUCGUGUAAUUGUCCAUGUUACAUCAAAGGUCCCUCUUGCCAUGGAAAUUCUCAUAGCUGAGUUGAACAAAGUUUGCAUUUACACAGUUCCUAAGUACAUUAUGUACUCAGAGGCAGCCUUCCAGACUAAAGAAGCUUACUACAAAGCUAUUGGCUAUGCAGAGG